rnacentral:sRNA from 1 species
UCGCGAUCUCGGGCGACCAUCAGAACGCA